GAUGAACGCUGGCGGCGUGCCUAAUACAUGCAAGUCGAGCGAACAGACGAGAAGCUUGCUCCUUCGACGUUAGCGGCGGACGGGUGAGUAACACGUAGGUAACCUACCUAUAAGACUGGGAUAACUUCGGGAAACCGGAGCUAAUACCGGAUAAUAUUUUGAACCGCAUGGUUCAAUAGUGAAAGAUGGCCUUGCUGUCACUUAUAGAUGGAUCCGCGCCGUAUUAGCUAGUUGGUAAGGUAACGGCUUACCAAGGCAACGAUACAUAGCCGACCUGAGAGGGUGAUCGGCCACACUGGAACUGAGACACGGUCCAGACUCCUACGGGAGGCAGCAGUAGGGAAUCUUCCGCAAUGGGCGAAAGCCUGACGGAGCAACGCCGCGUGAGUGAUGAAGGUCUUCGGAUCGUAAAACUCUGUUAUUAGGGAAGAACAAACGUGUAAGUAACUGUGCACGUCUUGACGGUACCUAAUCAGAAAGCCACGGCUAACUACGUG
rnacentral:rRNA from 1 species